AUGACCCCAGGUCAGGUAGGGUAACCCAUUGAAUUUAAGCAUAUCAAUAAGCAAAGGAAAAGAAACUUACAAGGAUACCCUUAGUAAUGGUGAGCGAACCGGGAAUAGGGCCCUGCUUGAGAAUCGAUGGCACUACCUUAAAAUUGUAGUCUUUAGAGCGUCCUCAGUGGCUAACCGAGAACAAGUCCCCUAGAAGGGGGCGCCAAAGAGGGAGAGAGCCUUGUUGUGCCUAGACCAUUUCGUAUAACAAGGCACUAUUGGAGAGUCGGGUUGUUUCGGAAUGCAGCCCCAAUAGGGUGGUAAAUUCCAUCCAAGGCUAAAUACGGGCGAGAGACCGAUAGCAAACAAAUACUGUGAGGAAAAGAUGAAAAGGACUUUGAAAAGAGAGUCAAAGAGUGCUUGAAAUUGUCAGGAGAGAAGCGGAUGGGGGGCGUUAAUGUGCCCCAGCUGGAUGUGGAAUAACACAAGCAAAUCUGCCACUUCACUCGGGGUUGCACUGUUGUGGAUUGUGGCGGUGACAAAAGCCCGGGCUGGUUAUAUGCCCGUGGAGAGUUGUCGAUGCGAUCAUAGUAGGUAGCACGCGCCAUCUUAGUGUGCUUCUGGAAAUGAUAUGUGGGCUCCUAAUUUAGUCCAUCUUGAAACACGGACCAAGGAGUCUGACAUGUGUGCGACUCAACUGGCGAUUAAACCUGUGAGGCGCAAGGAAGCUAAUGUACGGAAUCCCUUUGUGGGUGCACCACAGAUCAACCUUGAUCUUUUAAGAAGGGUUCGAGUGUGAGCAUGCAUGUCCCGAAAGAUCGUGAACAAAGCCAGAGAACACUCUGGUGGAGGUCCGCAGUGAUACAGAUAUGCAAAUCGUUCAACGGACUUGGGUAUAGGAGUGAAAGAUUAAUCGAACCAUCUAGUAGUUUGUUCCCUCCGAAGUUUCCCUCAAGAUAGCUGGAUCCCAUGAACGAGUUCUAUCGGGUAAACCAAAUGAUUAGGGGGGGGGGAGCAAUGCCCUCGACCUAUUCUCAAACUUUAAAUAGGUAGGACUGUGCGGCUGCUUUGUUGAGCCAUGCCAUGGAAUCAAGAGCUCUAAGUGGGCCAAUUUUGGUAAGUAGAACUGGCGAUGUGGGAUAAAUCAGAAGCGGGUUACAGUGCCCAACUGCGCGCUAACCUAGAACCUACAAAGGAUGUUAGUGAAUUAAGAUAGCAUGACAGUGGUCAUGGAAGUCAAAAUUCCUUAAAGACUGUGUAACAACUCACCGACCAAAUCAACUAGCCCUGAAAAUGGAUGGCACUUAAGCACACAACCUAUACUCGACCGUUGGGGUAAGUGCCAGCCCCCGAUGAGUAGGAGGGCGUGACAAUCGCUGCAAAACCUAGAGCAUGAGCCCAGAUGGAGCGACCUUCAGUGCAAAUCAUGGUGGUAGUAGAAAAUAUUCAAAUGAGAACUUUGAAGGCCGAAGAUGGAAAAGUUUCCAUGUGAAUGACACUUGCACAUAGGUUAGUUUAUCCUAAGAGACUGAGUAACCCAGUCUGAUAACGCGUCUCACGUGUACUUCGAAAGGGAAUCGAGAUAAAAUUCCUGAACUGGGGCAUGGUGGUUGACGACAAUGUUAGGGAUUCUGGAGACAUCAACGGGGGCCUCGGGAAGAUUUAUUUUUUCUUCUUCUGUUUAAUAGCCUGGUGACCCUGAAAAUGGCUCAGUCAGAGGUAGGGUCCAAUGGCAGGAAGAGCACCGCACGUCGCUUGGUGUUCGGUGCGCCCUUGGUGCCCCUUGAAAAUUUAAAGGACCGAGUGUCAUUCACGCAUGGUCGUUUUCAUAACCUCUUCAGGUCUCCAAGGUGAACAACCUCUGGUCGAUGGAACAAUGUAGCAAAGGUAAGUCAGCAAAAUGGAUCUGUAACCUCGAAAAAGGAUUGGCUCUGAGGGCUUCCCCCGACGUUACACAGUUGACUCAGAAAGGGUACGAACAAGGGGAAUCCAACUAUUUAAUUAAAACAAAGCAUUGGGAUAUUAACGCAAUGUGAUUUCUGCCCAUUGUUCUGAAUGUCAAAUUGAUGAAAUUCAACCAAGCGCGGGUAUACGGCUGGAGUAACUAUGACUCUCUUAAGGUAGUCAAAUACCUCAUCAUCUAAUUAGUGCCGUGCAUGAAGGGAUUACCGAGAUUCCCAUUAUCCAUGUUUACUAUCCAGCGAAAACAUAGUCAAGGGAACUGAUUUGGUAGAAUCAGCGGGAAAGAAAACCCUAUUAAGCUUGACUCUAGUCCGACUUUGUGAAAUGACUUGAGAGGUGUAGUAUAAGUGGGAGCCUCAUGGAGCUAGUGAAAUACCACUACUUUUAACAUUAUUUUACUUAUUCUGUGAAUCGGAGGCGGGGCACUGCCCUUCUUUUUGGACCCAAAGCCCACUUCGGCGGGCUGAUCCGAGGGGAAGACAAUGUCAGGUGAGGAGUUUGGCUGGGGUGGCACCUCUGUUAAAAGAUAACAUAUGUGUCCUAAGAUGAGAUCAACAAGAACAAAAAUUUCGUGUGGAACAAAAGGGUAAAAGUUUGUUUGAUUCUGAUUUCCAGUACGAGUACAAACCGUGAAAGCGUGGCCUAUUAAUCCUUUAGACCUUUGGAAUUUAAAGCUAGGGGUGUCGGAAAAUUUAUCAUAGGGAUAUUUGGCUUAUGGUAGCCAAGCAUUCAUAACGAUGUUGCUUUUUGAUCAUUCGAUGUCGGCUCUUCGCUCAUAACCAAGUGUUGGUUUGUUCACCCAUAAUAAGGAACAUGAGCUGGGUUUAGACCAUUGCGAGACAGGUUAGUUUUACCAUACUGAUGACAGUGUUGAAAUAGUAAUGCAACCUAUGUUAGGUACAUAAUUA
rnacentral:rRNA from 1 species